rnacentral:rRNA from 1 species
GGCGUAAGGGUGCGUAACACGUGGGAAAUCUGCCAAGAAGUGGGGGAUAGCUCGCCGAAAGGCGAAUUAAUACCGCAUGUGGUCAGCGAAGACAUCUUCGCGAAACCAAAGCCGGGGCAACCUGGCGCUUCUUGAUGAUCCCGCGGCCUAUCAGCUAGUUGGCGGGGUAAAAGCCCACCAAGGCUAUGACGGGUAGCUGGUCUGAGAGGACGACCAGCCACACUGGAACUGAGACACGGUCCAGACACCUACGGGUGGCAGCAGUCGAGAAUUUUUCUCAAUGGGGGCAACCCUGAAGGAGCGACGUCGCGUGGAGGAUGAAGGUCUUCGGAUUGUAAACUCCUGUCAUUAGGGAACAAAUCUUCCAAGUAACUACUGGAAGUCUGGUAGUACCUGAAGAGGAAGAGACGGCUAACUCUGUGCCAUCAGCCGCGGUAAUACAGAGGUCUCAACCGUUGUUCGGAUUCAUUGGGCGUAAAGGGUGCGUAUGCGGCGGAGUAAGUCAGGUGUGAAAUCUCGGGGCUCAACCCCGAAACUGCACUUGAUACUGCUUCGCUCGAGUACUGGAGAGGAGACUGGAAUUUACGGUGUAGCAAUGGAAUGCGUAGAUAUCGUAAGGAAGACCAGUGGCGAACGCGAGUCUCUGGACAGUUACUGACGCUAACGCACAAAUGCCACGGGAGCAAACGGGAUUAGAUACUCCUGUAGUACUGGCAGUAAAGGUGCAUGUUUGGUGUGGAAGGAUUCGCCCCUUCCGUGCCAGAUCUAAGUGUUAACAUGCCUACUGGCAGAACUUUCGUAUAUUGAUACUCGAUGAUUGACUGGAAUGG